CCUGCUGCUGCCUUGUGAAUCCUAGGACGGGGCCAGCUGUGGAGAAGCAGCCUGCUGACAGCCACAGACUGCAGCAUGGGCCGCCCUCACAGUUCUGCCUGGGCUCACUUAAAAGCACCUUUUGUUUUCCUCCUCUCUGUGUUUGAUCCAAACACAGAGCUCUCUGUCAUGGUCAUGUGGCAGCUCUCACGGAAUCCUUGUCUCCUGCCCUAGACUACACCUAACCCAAAAAAACAGUGCCAAGCAGCACACAUAGUAUAAGCCCCCACCAACCUUUUUUUUUUUUUUUUUUUUUUUGAGACAGAGUGUGGCUGUGCCCGGCCACUUUCUAAGCUUUGUGAAGAGCGAGUUGACUGAGCAGCCAGGUAGAUAUGGGUUCAGAUCUCUGCUUCUGUCCUGCUGUGCCAAGUGCUGGGGCAGACGCAGGCAGAGAGUGGACAGCGGCAUGGUUCCUGCUGCUAGCCAUUUCUAUGCAAAACCAGAUGUCUGGUCCCAUCCUGGAGGCCAAUUCUAGGUACGUGGGUGGGCCUGGGAACCUGUGAAACAAGUAAACUGACUUAGACACCCCCCACCCCACCAGGCCUGUCCUAGCAGCCCCACACAAAACACUCAUGUCCUGUCCCCAUACACCGCCAUCCUUAAACACAUGCUUUGUUUCCAGGCCGGGCCGGGAUCAGAUGGGAAGCGGAAGCUCAUCAUGA
rnacentral:lncRNA from 1 species